rnacentral:rRNA from 1 species
CAGCAGCCGCGGUAAUACGUAGGGUGCGAGCGUUAAUCGGAAUUACUGGGCGUAAAGCGUGCGCAGGCGGUUGUGUAAGACAGGUGUGAAAUCCCCGGGCUUAACCUGGGAACUGCGCUUGUGACUGCACAGCUAGAGUAUGGCAGAGGGGGGUGGAAUUCCACGUGUAGCAGUGAGAUGCGUAGAGAUGUGGAGGAACACCGAUGGCGAAGGCAGCCCCCUGGGCCAAUACUGACGCUCAUGCACGAAAGCGUGGGGAGCAAACAGGAUUAGAUACCCCCGUAGUCCCUGUCUCUUAUAC